rnacentral:rRNA from 1 species
CUGCUCCUAGUACGAGAGGACCGGAGUGGACGCAUCACUGGUGUUCGGGUUGUCAUGCCAAUGGCACUGCCCGGUAGCUAAAUGCGGAAGAGAUAAGUGCUGAAAGCAUCUAAGCACGAAACUUGCCCCGAGAUGAGUUCUCCCUGACUCCUUGAGAGUCCUGAAGGAACGUUGAAGACGACGACGUUGAUAGGCCGGGUGUGUAAGCGCAGCGAUGCGUUGAGCUAACCGGUACUAAUGAACCGUGAGG